CGGUAAUUCCAGCUCCAAUAGCGUAUAUUAAAGUUGUUGAGGUUAAAAAGCUCGUAGUUGAACCUUGGGCUCGGCCCGUCGGUCCGCCUCACCGCGUGCACUGACUGGGUCGGGCCUCUUUUCCUGGAGAACCGCAUGCCCUUCACUGGGUGUGUCGGGGAACCAGGACUUUUACCGUGAACAAAUCAGAUCGCUCAAAGAAGGCCUAUGCUCGAAUGUACUAGCAUGGAAUAAUAGAAUAGGACGUGUGGUUCUAUUUUGUUGGUUUCUAGGACCGCCGUAAUGAUUAAUAGGGACAGUCGGGGGCAUCAGUAUUCAAUUGUCAGAGGUGAAAUUCUUGGAUUUAUUGAAGACUAACUACUGCGAAAGAUUUUGCCAAGGAUGUUUUUAUUAAUCAGGAACGAAAGUUAGGGGAUCGAAGACGAUCAGAUACCGUCGUAGUCUUAACCAUAAACUAUGCCGAUUAGGGAUCGGACGGUGUUAUUUUUUGACCCGUUCGGCACCUUACGAUAAAUCAAAAUGUUUGGGCUCCUGGGGGGAGUAUGGUCGCAAGGCUGAAACUUAAAGAAAUUGACGGAAGGGCACCACCAGGGGUGGAGCCUGCGGCUUAAUUUGACUCAACACGGGGAAACUCACCAGGUCCAGACACGAUGAGGAUUGACAGAUUGAGAGCUCUUUCUCGAUUUCGUGGGUGGUGGUGCAUGGCCGUUCUUAGUUGGUGGAGUGAUUUGUCUGCUUAAUUGCGAUAACGAACGAGACCUUAACCUGCUAAAUAGCCCGUAUUGCUUUGGCAGUACGCUGGCUUCUUAGAGGGACUAUCGGCUCAAGCCGAUGGAAGUUUGAGGCAAUAACAGGUCUGUGAUGCCCUUAGAUGUUCUGGGCCGCACGCGCGCUACACUGACACACCCAGCGAGUACUCCCUUGGCCGGAAGGUCCGGGUAAUCUUGUUAAACUGUGUCGUGCUGGGGAUAGGGCAUUGCAAUUAUUGCUCUUCAACGAGGAAUCCCUAGUAAGCGCAAGUCAUCAGCUUGCGUUGAUUACGUCCCUGCCCUUUGUACACACCGCCCGUCGCUACUACCGAUUGAAUGGCUCAGUGAGGCUUCCGGACUGGCCCAGGGAGGUCGGCAACGACCACCCAGGGCCGGAAAGCUAUCCAAACUCGGUCAUUUAAGGGAAGUAAAAGUCGUAACAAGG
rnacentral:rRNA from 1 species